ACAUUACAUAUCUUAACAACACGUUUUACUGUUUAAUUAUUGGCAAAUCAUUAUAUUUGCAAAAAUGAAUCAUUUCACACAACUCCAGGGAGCCGAGGAAAAUGUUAAACUGCUGAAAAUGAACCUUCUAUACCUCUAUUUUUGCAUUAAGACAAUGGAAAUUGCAGCGUUUUGUAUACAUACAAGGACUGGAUGGAAUAACAAAGUGGACAGGGAUUUUACAAGAGUUCUUUAUUGAGCAUGCACUUGUUUAAUUACAUGAACACCCUAGACUGAUUAACAAAUGAGAAGGGACAAUCAAGCAAUAUGAGGCAAUAGUCUGGACAUGUGGCAGGCAAAACAAAGGCCGAAUAACAGGCACAGGAUCAAAUCAAGAAAUCAAAAUGCUGGGAAACAAGGGCAGGGCAGGAACAGACUUGCAUGGUAUAGGAACACAGGUAUAGGAACACAGGAUACAGGAGAUCAGGAUAUUCAAGGACAUGAGGCUUUGUCGCAGCAAAAGAGCUCAAUGAUCCAGCAUCUAGAGCAUGAGGCAGGGUGUCAUGCUUAUGUUGCUGCAGUCAUAAUCAAUGACUUCACCAUUGUCCCCGUUUGUCCUGGUUGACAUCUCUUGAUCCAACUGCAGUCAAUUACCUAAUAAGCAAAUUGACUUCAGUUGGAUCAACAGGCAAAGCUUUUCUUUUGUGCUCCUGAGGAAGCGUGACGAAUAUCACGUGAAACGCAUUGAGCUAUAGCCAUAUUUGAUCAAGAUUGUUGUUGGAACUGGAUUCGGAUAUGCUCCAUUUUAACACAUGCUUGUGAGUAGCAUGCAUUGUACAUGAUUUUUAUCUUUUUAAUAAAUUGUGUUACACUA